ensembl:misc_RNA Metazoa_SRP Metazoan signal recognition particle RNA
GCUGGGUGUGGUGGCGCAUGCCUGUAGUCCCAGCUACUUGGGAGGCAGAGGCAGGAGAAUCGCUUGAACCCAGGAGGUAGAGGCUGCAGUGAGCUGAGAUAAUGCCACUGCACUUCAGCCUGGGCGAAAGAGUGAGACUCUGUCUCAA